rnacentral:lncRNA from 1 species
GGCUUAUUUAAUCUUCAUAACGUCCGGUUGAGCGAGUACUCCUGAGGCUCAGAGGGAGAAAAACCCCAGCGUGAAGACAUCACAAGUGCAGGAUUUAAACGUAGAGCCACCCAGUUGCAGAACCCACACUCUGAGCCCGCUGCGGUCCGGCCUCCGCUGAAGACCCAGAAAGGAGAGGAGGAUUCAGAUACACAGAAACAGGAAAAGGCCACGUGAAGAAGGAGGAAAGAUUGGCGCAAUGCAGCCACAAAGACCGCCGAGGGCUGCCCGUGCCACGGGAGAGGGGCCUGGGAGCAGUGGACCCCCGGGGCCUCCAGAAGGAGCCACCCAGCCGACAUCGUGAUUUCAGCCCUCUGGCCUCCAGAAUCUUGCCCCAGAGAAUAAAAUUCUUUUGUUUAAACCACUCGCGUCAUGGUAAUCUGUUACAGCAGCCCCAGGAAAUGAACACAAAGCCUUCUCGUGUUUUUAAAAGUGUUUGUGCAUCCACGCGACAUGCGUACCUGCUGGGUGGAUCCCCAGACAGUGCCUGCUUCACAUAACUCAGCCAAAGACUGAAGACUUAUUUAACUGACGCUGCCAACUUGAAAAUAAACCCACAGGUCCUUCCAGGACCCCCGAGACCCAAGGGCUGCAAAU